rnacentral:lncRNA from 1 species
AUGGUCAGAGGUCUUUUGAGAGCUGACAACAUUCACUGCAAUCGAUUCUCCCUUCUCUUCCCUCCAGGUCUCUGUUGGUUUAAGACUUGAGUAGCUGGAGGAGAGGUGCUAGAAUGUAAUGAAACAUCUCCUGCCUCCAUCAAAGUGGGGAGAGAGGAAAGGAGAAAGAUGCUCCCUCCAGUCGGGCAUGAUGACACAAGCCUUUAAUCACAGCACCUGGGAGUCAGAGGCAGGUGAUCUCUAUGAAUUCAAGGUCAGGCUGACCUACACAGCAAAUUGCAGCCAGCCAGAGCUACACGGUAUGAUGCUGUCUCAAAAAUUUUUUCUCUUG